rnacentral:rRNA from 1 species
UACGUAGGGUGCGAGCGUUGUCCGGAAUUAUUGGGCGUAAAGAGCUCGUAGGCGGCUUGUCGCGUCGGAUGUGAAAGCCCGGGGCUUAACUCCGGGUCUGCAUUCGAUACGGGCAGGCUAGAGUUCGGUAGGGGAGAUCGGAAUUCCUGGUGUAGCGGUGAAAUGCGCAGAUAUCAGGAGGAACACCGGUGGCGAAGGCGGAUCUCUGGGCCGAUACUGACGCUGAGGCGCGAAAGCCAGGGGAGCGAACGGG